UGUGGUUUAAUUCGUUGCUACACGAAGAACCUUACCUGGGUUUGACAUAUAGGUUGUAGGGAACUGAAAAGGGACCGACCCUUCGGGGAGCCUAUACAGGUGUUGCAUGGCUGUCGUCAGCUCGUGUCGUGAGAUGUUCGGUUAAGUCCGCUAACGAGCGCAACCCUCGUCGUAUGUUAUAUGUGUCAUACGAGACUGCCGGUAAAAGCCGAAGGAAGGUGAGGAUGAUGUCAAGUCAGCAUGACCUUUAUAUCCCAGGGCUACACACACGCUACAAUGGUCUGUACAAUGGGUAGCCAAGCCGCGAGGCGGAGCCAAUCCUGAAAGCAGGCCUCAGUUCAGAUUGCAGUCUGCAACUCGACUGCAUGAAGCCGGAGUUGCUAGUAACCGCAGGUCAGCAAUACCUGCGGUGAAUACCGGUUCCCGGGUCUU
rnacentral:rRNA from 1 species